GCAUUCGAGCUGCUUGCAAUGCAGUCGAGGGGUAGAGUAGGUAUACUUGAGGCCGGGCCACGGGUGCGUAGGUGCUAUGCAAUCUGCCUUUUAUCCAUGGAUAGCCCAGAAAAAUUUGGAUUAUUACCUCAAAAUAUUAUGAAAUGGCUUUCUUGUAUAAUUAAAGUCACAACGGUCAAAGAUGAGCAUGCGUCCCAUUAGCUAGUUGGUAAGGUAACGGCUUACCAAGGCUACGAUGGGUAGGGGUCCUGAUAGGGAGAUCCCCCACACUGGUACUGAGACACGGACCAGACUCCUACGGGAGGCAGCAGUGAGGAAUAUUGGACAAUGGGCGCAAGCCUGAUCCUCCCAUGCCGCGUGCAGGAUGACGGUCCUAUGGAUUGUAAACUGCUUUUGUACGAUAAGAAACACUCCUAUGUAUAUGAGCUUGACGGUAUCGUAAGAAUAAAGAUCGGCUAACUCCGUGCCACCAGCCGCGGUAAUACGGAGGAUCCAAGCGUUAUCCGGAAUCAUUGGGUUUAAAGGGUCCGUAGGCGGUUUAGUAAGUCAGUGGUGAAAGCCCAUCGCUCAACGGUGGAACGGCCAUUGAUACUGCUGAACUUGAAUUAUUAGGAAGUAACUAGAAUAUGUAGUGUAGCGGUGAAAUGCUUAGAGAUUACAUGGAAUACCAAGUGAGAAGGCAGGUUACUACUAAUAUAUGGACGAUGAUAGACGAAAGCGUGGGGAGCGAACAGGAUCAGAUACCUUGGUAGUCCACGCGGUAAACGAUGGAUACUAGCUGUACGAAGCAAUUGCAGUGGCUAAGCCAAAGUGUUAUGUAUCCCACAUGUGGAGUACGUUCGCAAGAAUGCAACUCAAUGGAAUUGACGGGGGCCCGCACGAGCGGCGGAGCAUGUGGUUUAAUUCGACGAUACGAGCGGAACCUUACCAAGGCUUAAAUGUAGCUUGACCGGUUAGGAUCCAGAUCUUUAGCACGACAACUUUCAGGUUGCUCCAUGGUGGUGUUCAGUUCGUCCCUUGAGGUGUCAGGUUAAUUCCUCUAAGGAGCGCAACCCUUUUUGUUAGUGGCCACCGAGUCAGGUGGGGAAUUUUAACAAGACGCCCUGGGCAGACUGGGAGGAAGGGGGGGAGGACGUCAGUUCUUCACGCCCCUUACGCCAUGGGUUCCCCACUUGUUCCAAUGGCCGGUCAAGAGAGCAGCCACUGGGAGCCCGGGAGUGAUUUCACAAAUCCGGUCUCAGUUCGGAUCGGAGUCUGCAACUCGACUUCGUGAAGCUGGAAUCGCUAGUAAUCGGAUAUCAGCCAUGAUCCGGUGAAUACGUUCCCGGGCCUUGUACACACCGCCCGUCAAGCCAUGGAAGCCGGGGGUGCCUGAAGUUGGGUUAUCCGUAUGGAUGUUUUCUAUUUAAUUUGACUAGUCC
rnacentral:rRNA from 1 species